GAUCAUGGCUCAGGAUGAACGCUAGCUACAGGCUUAACACAUGCAAGUCGAGGGGCAGCAUGAACUUAGCUUGCUAAGUUUGAUGGCGACCGGCGCACGGGUGAGUAACACGUAUCCAACCUGCCGAUGACUCGGGGAUAGCCUCUCGAAAGAAAGAUUAAUACCCGAUGGCAUAGUUCUUCCGCAUGGUAGAACUAUUAAAGAAUUUCGGUCAUCGAUGGGGAUUCGUUCCAUUUAGG
rnacentral:rRNA from 1 species